AUCCUUGUCUUCUCUCUCUCUCUCUCUCUCGUUUCUUUUAUAACUCCAUCACUCGUUCAAAGCCACGAGGCCAAUACGUAACCUUCGAGAAUCAUCUGAAACUCUGAUCCAAUCCCUCUUUGAAACGAAACUUUCAAACCUCUCCAUCCCCUCCCAAAGGGAAAAUGAGCCGUUCAAGCCGCACCCUCUAUGUGGGCAAUUUGCCUGGGGAUACUCGUAUGAGAGAAGUCGAAGAUUUGUUUUACAAGUAUGGUACCAUUGUUGACAUUGACUUGAAGAUCCCACCAAGGCCCCCUGGUUAUGCUUUUGUUGAGUUUGAGGAUCCUCGUGAUGCUGAAGAUGCAAUUCGUGCUCGAGAUGGGUAUAACUUUGAUGGGUAUCGUUUACGGGUUGAACUUGCACACGGUGGGCGAAGGCCUUCAUCAUCAGAUCGCCAUAGCAGUUACAGUGGCAGCAGUAGCCGCGGACCUUCCAGGCGCUCUGACUAUCGUGUUUUGGUGACUGGAUUACCUUCUUCUGCUUCUUGGCAAGACCUAAAGGAUCACAUGCGCAAAGCUGGGGAUGUCUGUUUCUCUCAAGUGUUUCGUGAUCGUGGGGGCAUGACAGGGAUUGUAGAUUAUACAAGCUAUGAUGAUAUGAAAUAUGCCAUAAGGAAGCUUGAUGACUCUGAGUUUCGAAAUGCAUUUGGCCGGGCUUAUAUACGGGUCAAGGCGUAUGAUUCGAGAUAUGAUUCUAGGCGCAGCUACUCUAGAAGUCCUAGUCAUAGCCCAUAUAGUCGAAGUCCUAGUCGCAGCCUCAGCUAUAGUAGCAGGAGCAGGAGCAGGAGCAGGAGUAGGAGCAGGAGCAAGCCUCCAAGGGCCAAACAUUCGCGUCGAUCUCCAUCUGUAUCCAGGUCUCUUUCUCCGCAUUCCUGCUCAGUGUCACCUGCCCGCUCCUAUUCAAGAUCUGGCUCUUUGCGGCGAUCUGGGGAUUGGAUGUUAGGAACUUGAUGGGAUGUGGUGCUCAAAUGCCUGCAACUCUUUUUGUUGUUGAGGUAAUUCUAUCGUUGUCGAUGAGCACCUCUGGAAACCAUUAAAGGUCUAACAAUUCUGAUAUUGUGAUGUGUGGAGCGCAAAGAGAGCUAGACUGGAUCAGUAUGUAAUGGAUGGGUUGCAAUUUUAAAGCUGGACCACUUUGAAUUAAGUACUUUUACUUUUGAUACUGAAUUCUCCACAAUCAGAGAAUAGGACAUACUUGGGACUCCUCCAACAUCGACUAUUUUGUGCUCUGGAAUCUCUUUGCAUUUGAUGAUGGAGAGUUGGAGGAUAUUCUUCAUCGUUUAAGUAUUUAUGUCUUUCAGUGCUCUACUGGGUUUUUUUUCUCUUUCCAUUUUGGUUCCAUUUAGCAGUCAUGACCUUCUGUAGAAAAGAUCAUAACUAAAUGGUGAGAUCAUGAGUAGUGCGUUAAUUCUCCUUCUGCCGGUUGCUGCUUAAGAUGGGUGGUAUAUUCCAUUUUUAUGAUUAUGCUUACCCUGAGGUGAAAGUGGGUUAAGGCCUUGGGACCAAAAGGUUGUAGAGGAUUGUUCUGGAUAUUGAAUUCAUUGUUUCUGGAACUUUUUGCAGAUCUCGCUCCAGAUCCAGAUCACCAACUGCAUCUCCUUGCAGUAAGCACGUGAGCAGAAGCCCACUGAAACGCAGCAGGAGCUGCAGUAUAUCUCGAUCACGUUCAUCAUCAGUGCAAUCUGAUUGAUGUGGAUCGAACUCCAAGGAUCACAAGAUUUGUCCCUUCAGUAUAUUGUACUCUUUUCUUAGCACGAAUAUAAGGAUAAUUUGCCCAAGAACUAGUUUAUAUUUGGAUUUUGACUAAUCAAGCGAUAGUAAUUUAAACCUUUUCUCAACUCUAUGGCUUGUAGACUUAAUAACUGAGUUCGUGAACUAAUAUACGUUUAAGUCAUUAUUUGUUUAAA